rnacentral:lncRNA from 1 species
GGCGCUGGAGAUAAGAUAAAGAAAGAGGCAGAGAGGAAAGAUGAGUGAGAAAGGGGGGUGGGGGAAGGAUGGGGGAGAAAGAGAGGAGGUGGAGGAGGGAGAGGCAGAGGCGAGAUGGGGAGACAAAGAAACUGAGCGGGGGUGAGAGAGGUGAAGGAAGGUGAGAGCAGAGAGAAUGAGAGCAAGCUCUCACCCUCCCAGCGCUGCCGCCACAGCCCCUUCAGCACCGAGUGUAGCGGAGAGCGCUCGCCUCUCUCCAGGAGUCCGACAGAUCCGCUCCUUGCUGAGAGCUGCUCGCUAGCUACUCCCGGACAUUCUCUCCCUUGGCCAAUGGUCCCGAGAAACCAAGCACAGCAUUCAGCGCUAGCCCGGCCUCGCUCCCCCGUACCCCCCGAGGGCAGACUGGGAGAGCCCUAAGCAGCGCCCAGGACUGAGGAGUCCCAUUUCAGACGCUAGCGCCGAUUUCUUUGGACUUGGUUAGGGAUGGGCCCAUCUGUAAAGACCAGAAGCCUCUGCCAGGCGAGUCUCGCUGGCUUCCUUCCACCUGCUUUGCAUUUUGAGGAGUCUGAAGACGUGCGGCGGAAUACCUGUGCCAGUCUCGCGGCUGGUACGGCUGUGGGCAAAUCAUUUCCCGAGCUCAGUUUCUUUCUUUCUAAAAUGGGUCUACAUGCAACGCUCCACCUUACGGAUCCCUCGGAAGGCAAGCCUUAAGUAGCAAAACUUAAAGGGCUAUAAAGACGGGAGGGAGGAUUCACCGGGCCCCUCGCACCCAGUUAGCACAAGUGACCUUCUCCUGAGGCAGGCAGUUCCCCAGCAAUCCAGGCAGCUUCUUUCCCACCAACAGCCUCUGCCUCUCGUCUUCCUUCCUUCCCUCCUUCCCUCCCACCUUUCACAUCCCAGAGACAGCCAGAGGCUAGGCAGGGACGCCAGAGAGUACCUUGAAGGGCCCAGAGCCGAUCUGAUCAGCGAGGCAGCUGUUUUCUUUGGCUCCUUCCACCCGCCAUCUGGCCUGGGGCAGUCACAACCACUGGAGAAUGCCAGCCAAGCCCAGAUCCAAAUUCUCACUUUUGUGAGGGUGGAGCCAAGAUGGCAGCUUAGUAGCACCAAAAGCUGGAACUACUCAAAAGAAUCCUUCAAAACCAAAUUCUCAGUUUCCUCUAGUCACUCUCCAACCCAUGAGAAGGCAAGAAAUAAACUAUUCAUUUCCAUUCUACUUAUGAAGUCAUGCAAAAGAUUUAUGAAUUAACCAUGUUAAAAAAAAGACAAGAAAAAUAAAGAGAAAAAAUACUUCA